GACGAACGCUGGCGGCGUGCUUAACACAUGCAAGUCGAACGAUGAACCCGGAGCUUGCUCCGGCGGAUUAGUGGCGAACGGGUGAGUAACACGUGAGUAACCUGCCCUUGACUCUGGGAUAACUGCUAGAAAUGGUAGCUAAUACCGGAUACGACCCUCGGUGGCAUCACCAGGGGGUGGAAAGAAUUUCGGUCAAGGAUGGACUCGCGGCCUAUCAGCUAGUUGGUGAGGUAACGGCUCACCAAGGCGACGACGGGUAGCCGGCCUGAGAGGGUGACCGGCCACACUGGGACUGAGACACGGCCCAGACUCCUACGGGAGGCAGCAGUGGGGAAUAUUGCACAAUGGGCGCAAGCCUGAUGCAGCAACGCCGCGUGAGGGAUGACGGCCUUCGGGUUGUAAACCUCUUUUAGUAGGGAAGAAGCGAAAGUGACGGUACCUGCAGAAAAAGCACCGGCUAACUACGUGCCAGCCGCCGCCGCUG
rnacentral:rRNA from 1 species